rnacentral:rRNA from 1 species
CACUGCCGAGAAAAGCCUCUAGAUAGAAAAUAGGUGCCCGUACCGCAAACCGACACAGGUAGUCAAGAUGAGAAUUCUAAGGUGAGCGAGCGAACUCUCGUUAAGGAACUCGGCAAAAUGACCCCGUAACUUCGGGAGAAGGGGUGCUCUUUAGGGUUAACGCCCAGAAGAGCCGCAGUGAAUAGGCCCAAGCGACUGUUUAUCAAAAACACAGGUCUCUGCUAAACCGUAAGGUGAUGUAUAGGGGCUGACGCCUGCCCGGUGCUGGAAGGUUAAGAGGAGUGGUUAGCUUCUGCGAAGCUACGAAUCGAAGCCCCAGUAAACGGCGGCCGUAACUAUAACGGUCCUAAGGUAGCGAAAUUCCUUGUCGGGUAAGUUCCGACCCGCACGAAAGGCGUAACGAUUUGGGCACUGUCUCAACGAGAGACUCGGUGAAAUCAUAGUACCUGUGAAGAUGCAGGUUACCCGCGACAGGACGGAAAGACCCCGUGGAGCUUUACUGUAGCCUGAUAUUGAAAUUCGGCACAGCUUGUACAGGAUAGGUAGGAGCCUUUGAAACGUGAGCGCUAGCUUACGUGGAGGCGCUGGUGGGAUACUACCCUAGCUGUGUUGGCUUUCUAACCCGCACCACUUAUCGUGGUGGGAGACAGUGUCAGGCGGGCAGUUUGACUGGGGCGGUCGCCUCCUAAAAGGUAACGGAGGCGCUCAAAGGUUCCCUCAGAAUGGUUGGAAAUCAUUCAUAGAGUGUAAAGGCAUAAGGGAGCUUGACUGCGAGACCUACAAGUCGAGCAGGGUCGAAAGACGGACUUAGUGAUCCGGUGGUUCCGCAUGGAAGGGCCAUCGCUCAACGGAUAAAAGCUACCCCGG